rnacentral:lncRNA from 1 species
GUUUUGUUCAUAUGAUAUAUGUAUAACUUUUAGACAAUUUACUUUUGAACCAAAUGUAAACUUUCAUAUAUAUAUAAUGUAAUGGUUGUUUACUGUGAUUACUAUGUACAUUGGAUUUGAUACACAACGUGGAGUCAACCCCGGAAAUGUUUCCGCCUUUGAUUUUCGGGGUGUGACAGAUUGGUAUCAGAGCCCUUGUUUAUAGUGAACAGAGUAUACCAAACCUUACAUGGUAUAAAACUAUAAACACUAAAGGGCCUCAGUGCUCUGAAUUAAAAGUAUCUUCAAACUAUAAGUAUUUUCAAAAGUANCUUUUGUUCAUAUGAUAUAUGUAUAACUUUUGUACAAUUUACUUUUGAACCAAAUGUAAACUUUCAUAUAUAUGUAAUGUAAUGGUUGUUUACUGUGAUUACUAUGUACAUUGGAUUUGAUACACAACAUGGAGUCAACCCCGGAAAUGUUUCCGCCUUUGAUUUUCGGGGUGUGACAGAUUGGUAUCAGAGCCCUUGUUUAUAGUGAACAGAGUAUACCAAACCUUACAUGGUAUAAAACUAUAAACACUAAAGGGCCUCAGUGCUCUGAAUUAAAAGUAUCUUCAAA